rnacentral:rRNA from 1 species
UACGAAGGUCCCAAGCGUUAUCCGGAUUUAUUGGGUUUAAAGGGUGCGUAGGCGGGCUAUUAAGUCAGUGGUGAAAGCCCCAGCUUAACUUGGGAACUGCCAUUGAUACUGAUGGUCUUGAGUACAUUUGAGGUGGGCGGAAUGUGUCAUGUAGCGGUGAAAUGCUUAGAUAUGACACAGAACACCGAUUGCGAAAGGCAGCUCACUAAACUGUAAACUGA